rnacentral:lncRNA from 1 species
UUCUAGGAUUGGUCCAUUCACCAAUUCAUCUACUCCGACAACUCUGAAUUGGAGUUAAACAGAUGCGGCAGAGCGACCAUUGUCUAGAUGCGAGGUCUUCCUGCUGCAGUGGCUAUGUGUCCAGGGGAUGGGAUCGUCUCCUUGAUGUCAUGAAUAGAUGAACUCAACUGGAAGGGGAAUGUUGAGGUGACUGCUAUGUCUUCUUCUCCUUGAACCGAUCGCUUGAAUCCAAAUUGGUAUGUGCCCUUAGGGCACAGAGAAUUAUUACCUUUUAGGUCAUUCGUGCAUAUCGUGUGUAUCAGUUAUUACUC